AGCAGCCGCGGUAAUUCUAGCUCCAAUAGCGUAUAUUAAAGUUGUUGCAGUUAAAAAGCUCGUAGUUGAAUUUCGGGAUUAGUACGUUGGUCGUGCCUUCGGUACGUACUGGUGUUACUGAUUCCUACCUUCUGACGAACCAUCAUGUCAUUUAUUUGGUGUGGCGGGGAAUCAGGACUGUUACUUUGAAAAAAAUUAGAGUGUUUAAAGCAGGCUCGCGCUUGAAUACAUUAGCAUGGAAUAAUGAAAUAGGACGUUGACCCUAUUUUGUUGGUUUCUAGGAUUGACGUAAUGAUUAAUAGGGAUAGUUGGGGGCAUUAGUAUUCAAUUGUCAGAGGUGAAAUUCUUGGAUUUAUUGAAGACUAACUACUGCGAAAGCAUUUGCCAAGGAUGUUUUCAUUAAUCAAGAACGAAAGUUAGGGGAUCGAAGACGAUCAGAUACCGUCGUAGUCUUAACCAUAAACUAUGCCGACUAGGGAUCGGAUGAUGUUAUUUUUAAUGACUCAUUCGGCGCCUUACG
rnacentral:rRNA from 1 species